CUGGACUGACAAGACUCUCAAGGAGGAGGAGAAGAAUGAAUGGUCUUCAGAGUGCCUGAAGAAAGAAUUCUUGACCUCCCAGCUUGCUGUGAGCUAGCUUGAUAAAUGAGAAGCUACUAGUAUAUACAAAGAGCUGUCUGAAGUUGAAGCCAGCAUCCUCUUCACAGCUUGUGGCCUUUUCACAUCCCAGUUAGGUCCACUCGCUAAGCAUUGGGACAUGAAAAUUUCAUCCACCUGCACAGCAGUGGAAAAAAUUACCAAAUGGGAACAUGGACAUGGACUUUGAACAUGGUGCCAA